CAGUCGAGCGAAUGACGAGAAGCUUGCUUCUCUGAUUUAGCGGCGGACGGGUGAGUAACACGUGGGCAACCUGCCCUACAGAUCGGGAUAACUCAGGGAAACCUGGGCUAAUACCGGAUAAUCCUUCGAAUCACAUGUUUUGAAGUUGAAAGACGCUUCGGCGUCACUGUAGGAUGGGCCCGCGGUGCAUUAGCUAGUUGGUGGGGUAACGGCCUACCAAGGCAACGAUGCAUAGCCGACCUGAGAGGGUGAUCGGCCACAUUGGGACUGAGACACGGCCCAAACUCCUACGGGAGGCAGCAGUAGGGAAUCUUCCACAAUGGACGAAAGUCUGAUGGAGCAACGCCGCGUGAGUGAUGAAGGUUUUCGGAUCGUAAAACUCUGUUGUAAGGGAAGAACAAGUACGUUAGGAAAUGAACGUACCUUGACGGUACCUUAUUAGAAAGCCACGGCUAACUACGUGCCAGCAGCCGCGGUAAUACGUAGGUGGCAAGCGUUGUCCGGAUUUAUUGGGCGUAAAGCGCGCGCAGGUGGUUUCUUAAGUCUGAUGUGAAAGCCCACGGCUCAACCGUGGAGGGUCAUUGGAAACUGGGGAACUUGAGUGCAGAAGAGGAUAGUGGAAUUCCAAGUGUAGCGGUGAAAUGCGUAGAGAUUUGGAGGAACACCAGUGGCGAAGGCGACUGUCUGGUCUGUAACUGACACUGAGGCGCGAAAGCGUGGGGAGCAAACAGGAUUAGAUACCCUGGUAGUCCACGCCGUAAACGAUGAGUGCUAAGUGUUAGGGGGUU
rnacentral:rRNA from 1 species